GAGUCGGCCCCGCCUCUGAGCUCCUUCCCGGGAGCCGCUGGUGUCUGACGGUCGCAGAGCCCUUGGCUGUGGGACACACAGGUGGACACGUAACUCGCUUUCUGGGACGAUCGGAGGUGGGUUGGGAAGGCCGCGGGUGAACAGCCCACCUGGAGCGACUGUGACCCCCCUGGUGAGGGCUGGCAAGAGGGUGCAUGUGGGGGUCUGGGUGCAAAGGAGAAGCAGCCUCGGCCGGCGGUGAACUCAGUCCCGUGGAGACAGACAUGUGGCCGACACAUCACCUCGUCCACGUGGCCCAGCAGCUCCCAGAGCCGCGACCCCUCUCCUCUCCCGCGCCCUCGCCUGGCCGUGCCCCUGUGGCAGCCUGACCAGCACGUGGUCUCUUCCCGAGACGAGCCCCUCUGGCCUCCUGGGCUCUCAGGAAUCAGUGCUGGACGGUGGGGGCAUGAACAGCAAGCCCACACACCUGCUUUUCUAUGCCCCCUUUUCUCUGUUUCCUUCCUUCUUUCCAAGGUGCCCCUCCAGCAGCCCCCAGGCUCCUCGUCCUCUGUGUGAAGUUUGGGGGCUGCAGGGACUGUUUCUGGGCCUCAGGUCUCCUGACUACGCCCUCCCUGGGUGAGUACUGACCCCCCACCACUUUAAGUAUGGCCCCUACCGGGUGAGGGAGGGGCCCUGCCCUAGGGUCAUGGGAUGGCUGAGUACAGGACACAUGACACUGAGGUCACCCAGACUCACGGCCCUGGGGGAGGACGCGGUGCACUUGGGGACAGAGGGGACAGCUGGGAGGCCUCAUAGUAUCGAGGGGGGUGGUGACUCCUGGCUCCCAUGGAAGGAUGUGGUGGGCUUGUCUGACUCUCCCACAGGCUGGCAGGAGACUGAAGUUCACUGCUCAGAGAUAAUCCACCUGCAAGUACUACUCUCAACUCCUCUAUUUCCAUGGCCACCUUUCUAGCAGCACCACCCAACCCUCGCCUGGCUGCCAAGUGGCCUCUCUUCCUCCGCUCCUGUCCUCCGGUGACUCAUCCCACAGGGCACGUUCAUGGCCUCGCUCACCCACUCGGAAAGAGGGAGAGGCAGCUGGAAAGUCGAGGAAAACCAAGAACGACCCGGGAAUCGUGGCACCGUCGGCAACGUGGCGGGACUGUGAGUUCCCAGCGGGGCAGGAGAAAAGAGGGUCCAUUUGCCCCUGAUGCCAGGACACCGCUCCUUUCUGACCACAGACUUGUGAAGAAGAAACUGUAACCGCAGCAGCCUGCUGGGCUGUGCAGAGAGAAACAGCGGCAGCGCCGCGUCCUGCGUGGAUUGAUCUUUAAUCGCCUUCGAGUUUUAGAGUCAGUUGACAGACAGGGAGCGGCGUCGCAGGAGCACACACGGUGGGUCGGGGGGACAACUGGAUGCCAGUUCCCUCCCUUUUUCCUGUUCGUGCCUCCGCCAGGUGAGCCAGCCUGGCCCGGGCAGGAUGUCUCACUCUGCCUGCAGCUCCCGGGGGUCACAUCUCAGUGACGUCCAGUCUCCCUGGGGACCUCGAUUUCCUUCCCGGCUCUGCCUGACGGCCUCUCAUCCACGUGGCCCCUAGAGCUCGUGUGGUCUCUGUCCUCGGCCCAGGACCCCCGUGCCCGUGGGCCGGAACAACCUCAUUCUCCUCUGGAGCCCAGUUCUCGCAUGACACCCUGCGGAGCCUUGAGCCGGAGUCAGCCCAGCUGCUUGGCCUUCUCAGCUCUUCCUGGCCCUGCCCUGCUUUCCCCCGAGUAGUGCAGGGCCUGGCUCCGAGCUGGCGCCCAGAGGACCGUGGCUGGGUGCGCUACGUGCAGAAUAUUCUGUAUCAGGGGCUCCGUCUCCCCACACCCUGGCCGAGGGCAUCAGUGGCCCCGUGUCACACAGGGACAGAGGCCCAAGGCUGAGAUGUCUCCCGGGGCCCCAGGGCUGCAGGGCCAGGCCUGGAGCUCACGGCUGUGCUUGGCUAGCAGGUCCCGGUUCUCUCUCAGACCAGGCCAGGGAUCCCCACCUUCUUUGAAGGUCAGUAGUCUUUGAAGGCCACUUCAAGCCACAUGCUCCACAGGGGAGCUGGCAGCAGGGAGGGGCGCUUUUGGUGGGGGGAGCCAGGCUGCACUGAGCUUACCCACUGCUUCCCUGUGCCACACAGCCAGGCUCUCAGGGCGGAGGCAUCGGGGCAGAGGAGGUGGGCGCCAGCUGGGGGAGAGCAGGGCUGGGCCGGGUCCGCGCUCCCAGGCUGCCUGGGUCCCUCAGAGCCGCGCGCAGCCUCUGCCGGGAGGUCCGGCAGGCUCCGCCUGGCACCGUCAGACACCACGAUUUUUCUUCUGGGAAUUAGUAAAUUCUCACUAAUUUCCCCAAACAUUACCAGAGUCUGUUUUCUUAAAGUACAAACAUAUACAGUACGUUCAUCAUUUAAAAUAUCAUUUCCUUAAUGGUUGGA